rnacentral:rRNA from 1 species
AUUGAACGCUAGCGGGAUGCUUUACACAUGCAAGUCGAACGGCAGCGCGGGUCUUCGGACCUGGCGGCGAGUGGCGAACGGGUGAGUAAUGUAUCGGAACGUGCCCAGUAGCGGGGGAUAACUACUCGAAAGAGUGGCUAAUACCGCAUACGCCCUACGGGGGAAAGGGGGGGAUCCUUCGGGACCUCUCACUAUUGGAGCGGCCGAUAUCGGAUUAGCUAGUUGGUGGGGUAAAGGCCUACCAAGGCGUCGAUCCGUAGCUGGUUUGAGAGGACGACCAGCCACACUGGGACUGAGACACGGCCCAGACUCCUACGGGAGGCAGCAGUGGGGAAUUUUGGACAAUGGGGGCAACCCUGAUCCAGCCAUCCCGCGUGUGCGAUGAAGGCCUUCGGGUUGUAAAGCACUUUUGGCAGGGAAGAAAAGCUCCGGUUAAUACCCGGUAGCUGCUGACGGUACCUGCAGAAUAAGCACCGGCUAACUACGUGCCAGCAGCCGCGGUAAUACCUAGGGUGCAAGCCGUUAUCGGAAUUACUGGGCGUAAAGCGUGCGCAGGCGGUUCGGC